UACGUAGGGGGCAAGCGUUGUCCGGAAUCAUUGGGCGUAAAGCGCGUGUAGGCGGUUCGGUAAGUCGGCUGUGAAAGUCCAGGGCUCAACCCUGGGAUGCCGGUCGAUACUGCCGGACUAGAGUUCGGAAGAGGCGAGUGGAAUUCCCGGUGUAGCGGUGAAAUGCGCAGAUAUCGGGAGGAACACCAAUGGCGAAGGCAGCUCGCUGGGACGUUACUGACGCUGAGACGCGAAAGCAUGGGGAGCGAACAGG
rnacentral:rRNA from 1 species